UCGACGGGAGGAAAAGAGAAGCUUGCUUCUUUUUGAAUCUAGUGGCAAACGGGUGAGUAACACGUAAACAACCUGCCUUCAGGAUGGGGACAACAGACGGAAACGACUGCUAAUACCGAAUGUGUUCCGGAGACCGCAUGAUUUCCGGAAGAAAGGAUGGCCUCUAUUUAUAAGCUAUCGCCUGAAGAGGGGUUUGCGUCUGAUUAGGCAGUUGGUGAGGUAACGGCCCACCAAACCUACGAUCAGUAGCCGGUCUGAGAGGAUGAACGGCCACACUGGAACUGAGACACGGUCCAGACUCCUACGGGAGGCAGCAGUGGGGAAUCUUCCGCAAUGGACGAAAGUCUGACGGAGCAACGCCGCGUGAGUGAUGACGGCCUUCGGGUUGUAAAGCUCUGUGAUCGGGGACGAAUGGCUGGUAUGCUAAUACCAUAUCAGAGUGACGGUACCCGAAUAGCAAGCCACGGCUAACUACGUGCCAGCAGCCGCGGUAAUACGUAGGUGGCAAGCGUUGUCCGGAAUUAUUGGGCGUAAAGCGCGCGCAGGCGGCUUCUUAAGUCCAUCUUAAAAGUGCGGGGCUUAACCCCGUGAUGGGAUGGAAACUGGGAGGCUGGAGUAUCGGAGAGGAAAGUGGAAUUCCUAGUGUAGCGG
rnacentral:rRNA from 1 species